GACGAACGCUGGCGGCGUGCCUAACACAUGCAAGUCGAACGGAACUGUUUUGAAAGAUUUCUUCGGAAUGAAUUUGAUUUAGUUUAGUGGCGGACGGGUGAGUAACGCGUGAGUAACCUGCCUUCAAGAGGGGAAUAACAUUCUGAAAAGAAUGCUAAUACCGCAUGACAUAUCGGAACCACAUGGUUUUGAUAUCAAAGAUUUUAUCGCUUGAAGAUGGACUCGCGUCCGAUUAGUUAGUUGGUGAGGUAACGGCUCACCAAGACCGCGAUCGGUAGCCGGACUGAGAGGUUGAACGGCCACAUUGGGACUGAGACACGGCCCAGACUCCUACGGGAGACAGCAGUGGGGGAUAUUGCGCAAUGGGGGCAACCCUGACGCAGCAACGCCGCGUGAAGGAUGAAGGUUUUCGGAUUGUAAACUUCUUUUAUUAAGGACGAAAAAUGACGGUACUUAAUGAAUAAGCUCCGGCUAACUACGUG
rnacentral:rRNA from 1 species